UCGGCUUAGAGUUUGAUCAUGGCUCAGAUUGAACGCUGGCGGCAGGCUUAACACAUGUAAGUCGAACGGUAAAGUAGCUUGCUACUUACGAGUGGCGGACGGGUGAGUAACGUAUGGGAAUUUACCGAAUGGAGGGGGACAACAGUUGGAAACGGCUGCUAAUACCGCAUAACGUCGAGAGACCAAAGGGUUUCGACUUGCCAUUUGAUGAGCCCAUAUGAGAUUAGCUAGUUGGUGUGGUAAUGGCUCACCAAGGCGACGAUCUCUAGCUGGUUUGAGAGGAUGACCAGCCACACUGGGACUGAGACACGGCCCAGACUCCUACGGGAGGCAGCAGUGGGGAAUAUUGCACAAUGGGGGGAACCCUGAUGCAGCCAUGCCGCGUGUAUGAAGAAGCCUUAGGGUUGUAAAGUACUUUCGUGGAGGAGGAAGGGUUUACGUAAUCGUGGACAUUGACGUUACUCCAAGAAGAAGCACCGGCUAACUCCGUGCCAGCAGCCGCGGUAAUACGGAGGGUGCGAGCGUUAAUCGGAAUGACUGGGCGUAAAGGGCAUGUAGGCGAUGAUUAAGUUAGAUGUGAAAUCCCUGGGCUUAACCUAGGAAUUGCAUUUAAAACUGGUUAUC
rnacentral:rRNA from 1 species